ensembl:lncRNA
UUUUCCUAUCCUACAGGAUUCCCUUCGUAAAUCAGCCGGUGGGACUCAUGUGGGAGGGCCAGAAAACAGACGAGAAAGAGAAGGGAGGAAGAAAGGAGGACAAUCACCUUCAUUUUCCUUUUCCUACUCAUCUUUAAGGACGAUGCCAUGAGUAUGCCCCUGUAGCUUCAGGAAUGGCCCAGUCCAACCGCCUCAAUCUUUUCACUGUUUCGCAGCACUCUGGGACAAGGUUCUGCUUCCGAGGUCACCUCAGCUUGUCGCCAAGACUUUAACAGAGGCUGUUCAAGACAGGUUAGGAAAGUACUACAUGUCUGUUAUGGAAACAUGCAGAGGACCACAGUUCAAUUCUCAGCACCCACAUGGUUGCUUGAUAUCCACAACUCCACUUCCAGGGAGUUCCAAUUCCAUCUUCUGACCUCUGCGG